GAUGAACGCUGGCGGCGUGCCUAAUACAGGCAAGUCGAGCGAACGGACGAGAAGCUUGCUUCUCUGAUGUUAGCGGCGGACGGGUGAGUAACACGUGGAUAACCUACCUAUAAGACUGGGAUAACUUCGGGAAACCGGAGCUAAUACCGGAUGAUAUUUUGAACCGCAUGGUUCAAAAGUGAAAGACGGUCUUGCUGUCACUUAUAGAUGGAUCCGCGCUGCAUUAGCUAGUUGGUAAGGUAAUGGCUUACCAAGGCAACGAUGCAUAGCCGACCUGAGAGGGUGAUCGGCCACACUGGAACUGAGACACGGUCCAGACUCCUACGGGAGGCAGCAGUAGGGAAUCUUCCGCAAUGGGCGAAAGCCUGACGGAGCAACGCCGCGUGAGUGAUGAAGGUCUUCGGAUCGUAAAACUCUGUUAUUAGGGAAGAACAUAUGUGUAAGUAACUGUGCACAUCUUGACGGUACCUAAUCAGAAAGCCACGGCUAACUACGUG
rnacentral:rRNA from 1 species